rnacentral:lncRNA from 1 species
UAAAACACUCGGGGCCAGAUACGAUGGCCCUGCUUCCACUCGGACGGUCCAUAUCGCGACCAUCGCGGUGGGCUCGACCCCUGUCGACUCUUCGCUGAGCGAUUCGGCCCCUUGCGUCGGGUCUUGGGUCGUAAGUGUCGUCGACUGAAUGCCGAUCAUCAUGAUGCCGGGACCCGCAGGGCCCACCCCGCGGAGGGGUGCGUGAGCGACGGCGAUACUGAUGAGAUCCAGGGCUGUGAACCGAUCUAUGCGUGUUUGCAUGGACGGAACUAUUGUGGAUCCGAUUGUGUGACUGGGAG